rnacentral:rRNA from 1 species
CGAACGCUGGCGGCGUGCCUAAUGCAUGCAGUCGCACGCGCUUGCUUUCGGGCAGUGAGUGGCGCACGGCUGAGGAACACGUGGGUACCAACCCUGGCGUGGGGGACAACCAACCGAAAGGUAGGCUAAUCCCGCAUACGCUCCUUCGGGAGGAAAGUGGCAACACGCGCCAGGACGGGCCUGCGGCCCAUCAGGUAGUUGGUGAGGUAAUGGCUCACCAAGCCAGUGACGGGUCCCUGGUCUGAGAGGACGACCAGGCAGACUGGGACUGAGACACGGCCCAGACUCCUACGGGAGGCAGCAGCAAGGAAUUUUCCGCAAUGGGCGCAAGCCUGACGGAGCAACGCCGCGUGCCGGAAGACGGCCUUCGGGUUGUAAACGGCUUUUGUCGGGGAAGAGAUGGACGGUACCCGACGAAUAAGCCCCGGCUAACUCCGUGCCAGCAGCCGCGGUAAGACGGAGGGGGCAAGCGUUGUCCGGACUCACUGGGCGUAAAGGGUGCGUAGGCGGUACAGAGCGUCGACACUGAAACCUCCUGGCUCAACCAGGAGACGCGUGGCGAUACGACUGAACUCGAGGCAAGGAGAGGUGCGCGGAAUUCCGGGUGUAGUGGUGAAAUGCGUAGAUAUCCGGAGGAACCGUCGGUGGCGUAAGCGGCGCACUGGUCUUGACCUGACGCUGAGGCACGAAAGCGUGGGGAGCGAACCGGAUUAGAUACCCGGGUAGUCCACGCAGUAAACGAUGUCGGCUCGGUGUGCAGUGGUGUAAUACACACCCACCGCGUGCCCCAGUUCACACGGGUAAGCCGACCGCCCUGGGGACUACGAGCGCAAGCUUAAAACUCCAAGGGAUUGACGGGUGCCCGGCACAAGCAGCGGCAGCGUGUGGUAUAAUUCGACGCAACGCGAAGAACCUUACACAGGUCUGACAUGGUACUGCAAGCGCACGGANACGUGUGACCUUCGAGGGUGUACCACAGGUGCUGCAUGGCUGUCGUCAGCUCGUGUCGUGAGAUGUUGGGUUAAGUCCCGCAACGAGCGCAACCCUCGCUGCCAGUUACUCGUGUCUGGCGGGACAGCCCUCUUUGAAGGGGGAGGAAGCCGGGGAUGACGUCAAGUCAGCAUG